GUUUCUUGUUCUGUUUCUAACAUCUGGUCCAAUCAGAUAAUCUUCUCUAAUUUGAUGAUGUUGGAGGCCUUACCCAUCUUACAUCUCAGAGGUUUGUGAGUGAAUUCAAGCUAGACUAACCAAGAAAGAAGAGAGAAGCCUCGAAUAAAUGAAACCGAAAAUGAAAGAGAAGAUGAUACAACUGAUACCUCAGAAACACAAAGGAUUGUGGUUUUGUUUCAUUGUUAUUCCACAUCUGAAUUAAUCCAAGCUGUUGAUAACAAAGGAAAGAGGUGAAGAAAUAUAAGUUGAUUAGCCUAAACCCAUUCCUACUGUGAAAAAGAGCAUGUAGCCAGCCUGUGAGCAAUGGUGUCAACUUGGUGGUGAAAAUGAAUUUGUCCAUGCAUCGGUCAACAUAGAACAAGCCCCAGAAAGGUGGUCCCAGAUAGUGACAGAAGCAGUUCCUGGACCGGAAGACCUAGUGAACUGGACAGGUUCAACCAGGAGCAACCUAAAGGCUGGGGAAUGAGGACAGCUAAGGCUGUGGCUCCAUUCUCAGCUGGACUUUUCCUUGGUUGGUCUUCAUUCACGUUGCCUAUUAUGAGGAUGGCUUCCUCGUGAACUCCAAGCAGCUCCAAACAGGAAACCUGGUUUCCUCAAAAUGUGGUUUGUUUACAAGUGGUGAUAUACGCGAUUUUACAUGUACAUGGAUAAGUUAAAAAUAGUGUGGAUAUUGCAUUGGAAAACACAUAAAACAUGCCUGAGCAAGAUACUAAUUGCCAAAUAAGGAUAAAUUGGAAGACAAGGAGAGGAAUGAUGGGGACGUGCGUGUGGAAAGAUGGAGAAUGAAACUAGAAAAGCUAAUAUCACAAGGUGGCAGCCCAUAUGCAAGUGGCGUUUCAUGGAACUUCUUCAAUAUGUAAGUGAAAUAUCUGAGGUCUGGAGAAGACAAUUACCCAGGAUCACACAAGAAGUUAGUUAUAGGGCAAUGACUAGAACUUGAGGCUUUGCUUCAUAAUUGAGUGACUUUUUAAAAAUUCAGCUUCUCCCUUCUCCUUAAAAAAGAAAUAUUUUGUUACAUACAGGUAAUGCUGUACACUUUCAACAUUAUUCAAACCUUUAUUUAUAUAUUAUUUGUUGUUUUCAAUUUGAUUCAGAAAAAAUUUGUCUGGAAGAUGUUUCAUUUCAUUUGAAAGAGUGCAUAAAUAGAUCCAAAUGAUUAAAACCAGUUUAAAAAAAUUAGUUCAUGUAAGUAAAAUAUUUUUGAAAGAAAAAAGGUGAGGCUUUGACAGAGAGACAAUGCUGUUUAAUGAUAAGAGGAGAGCAAAGUAUCACAGGGACUCAGAUAAAUCCUGGUCCUCUCCAAUCCACAGAAAGACUUUAAACAAUGUACUUAGAUUCUUGGGGUCUUGGUUUCUAUAACACUGG
rnacentral:lncRNA from 10 species